rnacentral:lncRNA from 1 species
CUAAAUGGUAUGAACAGUUAAUUUAUUUGAAUUGUGAUAUUGUUUUCCUUCUUCUUUGAAAUCUUCACAGAACCAGAAUUUUGCCAAAGAUAUACAUACGGAGUGCGAGCCACUGUUCAGUGCAUUCCUGCUUGGCUUUAUUUCAUUCAGUGCCUGUGCUGGUACUGUGACACAAGAAGAGCCUUUUCUCAUCCAGUAAAUGCUGCCUGGCAAAUACUCUACGACUUUCUUCAUCGUGACAUUUCCAGCCCUUUACAGCACCCACAAAGAACAAAGUCACUCUGACACCAUGGUGUUCUUUUACCUGUGGUCAUCCUUUGCAUCAUCAGCUCCUGCUAUAUCCUCAUCUGGGAUCUCAAGAUGGACUGGGGUUUCUUUGAUAAGAAUGCAGGAGAUAACAAUUUCCUCUGUCAAGAAAUUUUAUACCCCCAAAAAGCAUGUGUGGAACAUUUACACUUAUCUUAGAUAUAUCUUUAGAUAGGUCAUACAGCAGUACUGACACAGGUCUAGUUAACUAAUAUGAUUACAAAACAAUUAUCCCAGAUACCAAUAUAGUCCACAAAAC